UACAGAGGUGGCAAGCGUUGUUCGGAAUCACUGGGCUUAAAGGGCGCGUAGGCGGGUUCGCAAGUCUGUGGUGAAAGCCUCCAGCUUAACUGGAGAAGUGCCAUGGAUACUGCGCAUCUUGAGGAGGGUAGGGGCGUCUGGAACGGUCGGUGGAGCGGUGAAAUGCGUUGAUAUCGACCGGAACUCCGGUGGCGAAGGCGGGUCUCUGGGCCGAUACUGACGCUGAGGAGCGAAAGCGUGGGGAGCGAACAGG
rnacentral:rRNA from 1 species